rnacentral:tRNA from 1 species
UUGGCUGUAGCUCAACGGCAGAGCGCCGCGCUGUGAACGCGGAGACGACGAGUUCAACUCUCGCCAGCCAACCCA